UACGUAGGGGGCAAGCGUUGUCCGGAUUUAUUGGGCGUAAAGAGCGUGUAGGCGGCUUUGCAAGUCCGUUGUGAAAACUCGAGGCUCAACCUCGAGACGCCGGUGGAAACUGCAAAGCUAGAGUCCGGAAGAGGAGAGUGGAAUUCCUGGUGUAGCGGUGAAAUGCGCAGAUAUCAGGAAGAACACCCGUGGCGAAGGCGGCUCUCUGGGACGGUACUGACGCUGAGACGCGAAAGCGUGGGGAGCGAUCCGG
rnacentral:rRNA from 1 species